UCUGGGCUUGGGUGUAAGAGCUAGACCGGAAGUGCGGUUGGGAAGAGACCGGAAGUGUCUGUAUUCAGAGAGGAGAGGAGCCUGGGAAGGCGGGAGUGUGGGGAAGGACCCAAAGUUGUUUCUAAACCUGGGGUGAUCUGCAGCUGAUCCCGGUGACUCCCAGCAUGAGGGAUGCAGAGCUCAAGGGGAGGGGCGCUAAGGUACCAGAUGAUGGCUCCUCACCACACUGUCCCCAUGAUGGUCCAGGCUGCCAGUGGGGGCUCUUAGCCCAGGAUGGAGUUCUAUAGUCCACUUGAAGUGACUGACGGCCUGGGUUGUGAAAUCCUGGAGGCGAUCGCUCAGCUUCCUUCCCUCCAAGCUCACUACAGCCGGAGGGAGGGGCACGGAGGAGGCACAGACCUCAGCUUCCAGUCUCAGCCUCUGGAAGCAUCCUGGCUCCAGGGACUCUCCAAGGUCAUCUCAUCCAACGCUAUCAAGAGAACGCUCCCUGGGCCAGGAGGAUGACAGGCCGGGAAAAGCUCUGCUCAGGGGCUAACCAUCAGGCCACACCUUCGGACAGCUUCAUCUGCAGUCAGGAUGACAUCUGCCCUCCUUCUGGCCGAUCCUGACACCAGCUCCUCUCUGGGUUCCAACCCUAUUAUCCCUUAAGCCCCAGU
rnacentral:lncRNA from 1 species